rnacentral:rRNA from 1 species
AGUGAACGCUGGCGGUAGGCCUAACACAUGCAAGUCGAACGGCAGCACAGUAAGAGCUUGCUCUUACGGGUGGCGAGUGGCGGACGGGUGAGGAGUACAUCGGAAUCUACUUUUUCGUGGGGGAUAACGUAGGGAAACUUACGCUAAUACCGCAUACGACCUACGGGUGAAAGCAGGGGAUCUUCGCACCUUGCGCGAUUGAAUGAGCCGAUGUCGGAUUAGCUAGUUGGCGGGGUAAAGGCCCACCAAGGCGACGAUCCGUAGCUGGUCUGAGAGGAUGAUCAGCCACACUGGAACUGAGACACGGUCCAGACUCCUACGGGAGGCAGCAGUGGGGAAUAUUGGACAAUGGGCGCAAGCCUGAUCCAGCCAUACCGCGUGGGUGAAGAAGGCCUUCGGGUUGUAAAGCCCUUUUGUUGGGAAAGAAAAGCAGCAGGUUAAUACCCCGCUGUUCUGACGGUACCCAAAGAAUAAGCACCGGCUAACUUCGUG